GAUGUUCAGACUCAUAACGAGGGUUCCUUAAUUCUUACGUUGCUCUAGUUACGGUUACAUAAUCGCAGGUGUCUGUCCUACUGUGUCAGCCGUUCAGUUUUCCCAUCCCCUUGUCCUGAGCGCGGCGAGCCAUUCAGGGAGAGGAAGCAAUGAUGGACGACGUAUACCUUCACCAGUUUCCCCAAGUGUCUAUUCAUCGACGAACAACUGACUGAGCUGUGCGCCUACCGUCCCAGCCUGGAUUCGAAACUGAACCACUAUAGAUUCAUACGAGGCUCGCUGGCCACUGCACCACGGAAGCACUUUGAUGGAAAGUAUUGGGACCAAUGGAGAAGUGGGUGUGGACCAUGGGUUCUUCAGAAUGGUUGACCCAGCGAGCAUCGUCGCCCUGGUGGCAGAGUAACGCACCGCUCACUAGGCUAUUAAGAAGACAUCCACUGUACCGAUUUGAAUAAAAAAUGUAUUUCCUUAUAACAUCAUAUACAACGUUACUCCUUAUUCUUAAUUAUACAAUAUGUCAUACAAACAACAGUAUAAAUAUUAUGUGUAUAUGCUACAGCUUGUGUAUUUCAAGACGAAACCAACAUUGACUUCCCUCUCAUCACAGCCGAGCUUUCGUACCUAUGAGUAAUUUGUGAGUGUUCUGUAAGUUAACAUUUUAUCUAAUACAAUCUGUAUCAAAAUGAUAAAAGAACAGUUAUCAAAAACACUAAAAGACAGGAUCGACACAACAUUGUAUGAGGACAUUAUUUGCACUUUGUUGAGCAAGACUAUACUGGCCGACUGAGAUGCCAGACAAAAUUAUCGUUGGUCUCUCUCUCUCUCUCUCUCUCUCUCUCUCUCUCUCUCUCUCUCUCUCUCUCUCUCUCUCUCUCUCUCUCUCUCUCUC